rnacentral:misc_RNA from 1 species
AACGCACCUUGCGCUCCUUGGUAAUUCCGAGGAGCAUGCCUGUUUGAGUGUCAUUAAAUUCUCAAUCUUAACAACUUUGUGUUGUCUAGAUUGGAAGUGGGGGUCUUUUGUGUGGAAUCCAAUUCCUCACUCCCCUUAAAUGUAUUAGCUGGAAUGCCUCUGCAUAUCUGACUAUCAGUGUGAUAAUUAUCUAUGCUGUAGUUGUUGCAUGAGGGUAUCUGCUUCAUCAAUCGUCGCAAGACAACUAUUGACCAUCUUGACCUCAAAUCAGGUAGGACUACCCGCUGAACUUAA